UGCAGCCCCGCACAACCAUCUAUUGUGCGAUGGAUGGUGCAUGUUAUGUGCCGCACCAAGCGAUACACAGUAAGGGAUCCAUUCUUUAGAUAUAAAAGAUAGAUGGAUGGGAUUGAGAUAGGAUAUUGAAAAUUAAAUAAAAAAAUAAUUAAUAAAAAAAAAAAGAAAAGAGAAAGAGAGAGUGAGAGAGAUCAAAGUGGUAUAAGAGA
rnacentral:lncRNA from 1 species